UACGGAGGGGGCUAGCGUUGUUCGGAAUUACUGGGCGUAAAGCGCACGUAGGCGGCUUUGUAAGUUAGAGGUGAAAGCCCGGGGCUCAACUCCGGAAUUGCCUUUAAGACUGCAUCGCUAGAAUUGUGGAGAGGUAAGUGGAAUUCCGAGUGUAGAGGUGAAAUUCGUAGAUAUUCGGAAGGAACACCAGUGGCGAAGGCGACUUACUGGACACAUAUUGACGCUGAGGUGCGAAAGCGUGGGGAGCAAACAGG
rnacentral:rRNA from 1 species